rnacentral:ncRNA from 1 species
UACCCUCGGUCGAAAAAGGUUAACCAUAAGAAGUCAGAUGAAGUCAUAGUAGGUAGAAAUACUGAAGGAC